rfam:Tetraodon nigroviridis, WGS project CAAE01000000 data, contig: CNS0BOBA, chromosome: undetermined
UUUUUUUUCCUGUGACCCUGUCUUUCAUGAUUAUUGCUGGUUGAAAACUUAACCCAAUACCCCGCCUGGCUGACUUGGAAUAUAGUCUGCUGUGGCAAUUUUUGAUGGAAUCAAUG